GGCCCCCUUUCAUUUGUAGGCGACCUAGGCCAUGGCCAGGCCCCCCAAAUCCAGGUGGUGGCACCCCACUCCAGGGUGUGAAGCCUCCGGUGGGCCGGACUGGGGCGGCGGAACCGGGCGUGUGAUCUCAGACUCGGAGGCGCUCAGGUCAACCCCGGCCGAGUGCCCAGGGCGGAGCGUGAACGGGCGAGCACAGGUGAGGGUGUGCCCCGUUUGCCUGGCACCGUCCUGUCAGCACCACACGCACGGCCCCUCGGGGCGGAAAAGGGUGCGUGCAGCUCCCCACCCAAAGGAUUUGCUGGAUUUUGCCUUGGGCGCGUGGGUAACGGGGAACUGGGAAACCAAGGUUGCACGGGGAGGCGUGGUGGCCCAGCUCCGCGACGGCGGCCGGAGGCCCCAGGCCCCGCUCUGCAACGGGCCCGGGGCGUGUGCUGGCGCGGGAGCUGGCGGGAGCCUGGGGCACGGGAACCCGCUGGGAGUCAUCUUCGUACUGAGGGUCUGGCGCGGCGCUCGGGGAGGGAACUAGGAUCCAGACCCAGGCCGGGCAGGUCGCCAGGUCGCACCUCGAGGCGGGAGGGGCCUCGGUGUGGGAACCGACUGGCGCAGAGGCGCCGCCAGCCCGGGCUGGGCCUCCAGAGGCAAACCCGGAAGCCCGGGCCCAGGCGCGUCAGCGAACAGCCGCCCGAAGGCCCCACACCCGUCAGCCUCUGCGGCAGAGGCGAGAGGCGGGGCUUGCGUGGACCCAAGAGCCACCCCGCGCUUCUCAUUGGACAAAGGCCCUUGUCAAUCCCUGAGGAAAGGCGACUGGACGAGACCGGACAUCCGGGAUCACCAUCAUUGAGUGAAGGGCGGGGUUUGGGGCGGAGGGAGCCAAUGGGAAGGUGCAGUAUCCAAUGGCAAUCAAGAGCUUCGCCUUCGCAGAGAUUGGCAGGUGCUCGAACCACUGAGGUGCCGCGGAGGGAUACCCGCCGUGGAAAGUAAGGUUCAAACCUCUGUGUUUUGUCCCGGUGCGGGCUUCCUCCGAGUGCGUAAAGUGAGCGAUUAGUUAACGCGUAAAUGAAGGGCCUUUCCUCAGUAUCAUGGUUUUCAACCAAGGCUGCGGAGUUUGUGAGAAGUGGAGCCUGGACAUGGAUCCCAGGCAGUGAGGGUGGUGGUGCGUUCAGAUGGCACCACCUCUCCCUCCUGCCCUUCAGUGUCUGGUGCCACAGGCUGCCUGUGGCCUGGGAGCACAGGAGGCCCCGUCUGUCUGGGCCCAGCCGUGCGUCCACUUGCCGUCUUCCAGGCCUGGACAGCUGCCCAGAAGAGGACUCUUCUGGCCACAAAUGGACUGAUGGUGUCCCAGUGAGGCAGCGAAAGACAGGGGGCAGGAGUGAGGAAAAGGAAGUACAGUGCCACCAGGGGCAGUGCCACCUGCAGUGCAGCCCCGGAGACCUGCCCGCUGUGUGCGUUCAGGGAAUAGCGAGAUAAAACCACAUACGUGGGUCUUUGAGACCCCAGAAAGGGGACAAACAAUUCUCAAAUAAUGAAAUUUUUAAAAGUUUUGCAAAAAAGAUAAAAAUAAUUUUUAAGAGUAAAAAGCACUGACGUGUGGGUAUAACCACGGACCAGAGAGCAGCCCGUCUGCCAUGCCGACUGUCAGCAAAGAAGCCGAAGGGAUUCCAGCAGCAGGUGGAGGAGGCCGAGAGCGGGUCUAGCGAUGGGAGAGGAGAGGAGGUGCCUGUCCCAGCGUUGCUGACUUCAGGGCCUCAAAAUGCCCCGGCCUCUUUUAAUUCUGUGUGUUGAUUUCAUUUUAUUCUAGCAAAUAAAAAAUAUAAGAACAUCA